AAAACAGGUUAAUAUUCCUGUACUUGGUGUUACUGCGAAGGGGGGACGGAGAAGGCUAUGUUGGCCGGGCGACGGUUGUCCCGGUUUAAGCGUGUAGGCUGGUUUUCCAGGCAAAUCCGGAAAAUCAAGGCUGAGGCGUGAUGACGAGGCACUACGGUGCUGAAGCAACAAAUGCCCUGCUUCCAGGAAAAGCCUCUAAGCAUCAGGUAACAUCAAAUCGUACCCCAAACCGACACAGGUGGUCAGGUAGAGAAUACCAAGGCGCUUGAGAGAACUCGGGUGAAGGAACUAGGCAAAAUGGUGCCGUAACUUCGGGAGAAGGCACGCUGAUAUGUAGGUGAAGCGACUUGCUCGUGGAGCUGAAAUCAGUCGAAGAUACCAGCUGGCUGCAACUGUUUAUUAAAAACACAGCACUGUGCAAACACGAAAGUGGACGUAUACGGUGUGACGCCUGCCCGGUGCCGGAAGGUUAAUUGAUGGGGUCAGCGCAAGCGAAGCUCUUGAUCGAAGCCCCGGUAAACGGCGGCCGUAACGAUAACGGUCCUAAGGUAGCGAAAUUCCUUGUCGGGUAAGUUCCGACCUGCACGAAUGGCGUAAUGAUGGCCAGGCUGUCUCCACCCGAGACUCAGUGAAAUUGAACUCGCUGUGAAGAUGCAGUGUACCCGCGGCAAGACGGAAAGACCCCGUGAACCUUUACUAUAGCUUGACACUGAACAUUGAGCCUUGAUGUGUAGGAUAGGUGGGAGGCUUUGAAGUGUGGACGCCAGUCUGCAUGGAGCCGACCUUGAAAUACCACCCUUUAAUGUUUGAUGUUCUAACGUGGACCCGUGAUCCGGGUUGCGGACAGUGUCUGGUGGGUAGUUUGACUGGGGCGGUCUCCUCCUAAAGAGUAACGGAGGAGCACGAAGGUUGGCUAAUCCUGGUCGGACAUCAGGAGGUUAGUGCAAUGGCAUAAGUCAGCUUGACUGCGAGCGUGACGGCGCGAGCAGGUGCGAAAGCAGGUCAUAGUGAUCCGGUGGUUCUGAAUGGAAGGGCCAUCGCUCAACGGAUAAAAGGUACUCCGGGGAUAACAGGCUGAUACCGCCCAAGAGUUCAUAUCGACGGCGGUGUUUGGCACCUCGAUGUCGGCUCAUCACAUCCUGGAGCUGGAGUAGGUCCCAAGGGUAUGGCUGUUCGCCAUUUAAAGUGGUACGCGAGCUGGGUUUAGAACGUCGUGAGACAGUUCGGUCCCUAUCUGCCGUGGGCGCUGGAGAACUGAGGGGGGCUGCUCCUAGUACGAGAGGACCGGAGUGGACGCAUCACUGGUGUUCGGGUUGUCAUGCCAAUGGCACUGCCCGGUAGCUAAAUGCGGAAGAGAUAAGUGCUGAAAGCAUCUAAGCACGAAACUUGCCCCGAGAUGAGUUCUCCCUGACUCCUUGAGAGUCCUGAAGGAACGUUGAAGACGACGACGUUGAUAGGCCGGGUGUGUAAGCGCAGCGAUGCGUUGAGCUAACCGGUACUAAUGAACCGUGAGGCUUAACC
rnacentral:rRNA from 1 species